rnacentral:rRNA from 1 species
UAGGGAAUAUUGGUAAUGGGCGAAAGCCCGAACCAGCAACGCCGCGUGCGCGAUGAAGGCCCUCGGGUUGUAAAGCGCUUUUUAAGGGGAUGAGGAAGGACAGUACUCUUAGAAUAAGCCUCGGCUAACUACGUGCCAGCAGCCGCGGUAAAACGUAGGAGGCGAGCGUUAUCCGGAUUUACUGGGCGUAAAGCGUGUGUAGGCGGUUUGAUAAGUUGGAUGUGAAGGCUCCCGGCUCAACUGUGGGAGGUCGUUCAAAACUAUCAGACUUGAGAGUGGUAGAGGGAGGUGGAAUUCCGCGUGUAGUGGUGAAAUGCGUAGAUAUGCGGAGGAACACCAGUGGCGAAAGCGGCCUCCUGGCUCAUUUCUGACGCUCAGACACGAAAGCUAAGGUAGCAAACG